UUUUUACACCAGAAUUCAGAGGUUCGGCAAGGAGUGCACUGAAAAAAGCAGAAUCUUGGCCGAAUACCAAACUGAAUCCUGGAUUCGGUGCAUGCCUAGUUAUAGUGCUUUCCUGUCUUAGGACUAUACAUAAACACUGAAAGCCCUUUUUGCUUUGGGUCCUAAAGAACUUGGAUCACUGGAGGAGAAAGACACGCCAGAGUCUCAGGAGACAAGCCAGCAUGAUGUGCAGGAGUUAAACCGCAUUUUGUUCAGUGCUCAUUGGAGGGCACAUCUGGCCAUGACCUCAUCAAGCGAUUGUACCAUGGCACCAUUGUUAACUGCAUCCAGUGCAAGGAGUGUGGCUACAUCAGUGAAAGGCAGCAUAAUCUGGAAGACUCCGUAUAUGCCUAUGAGCUCUUCUCUGUUAUUAUACACAAGGGCGGCUGUUAUGGAGGUCAUUCUCAUGCAUAUAUUCAAGAUGUCGAUGAGCUGGGGCAUCGGGGACUCAAGGUGAGCAUGACUUCAUAUAAUGGGAAAUAUUUCUCAUUGUUAUAUAUAUUUGUUAUGAGUAGAACUUUUUUUUCAUUUUAUUUUGGAGACCUAGGUCAUUACAGGGAAUAAUUUCUUUAGCAAGCAGGGUGUACAAAGCAUUGCCUCAGGAACAGAUGGACAACGGAACAGGUGGUUUAUGCUGAAUUUCAGGGCUGCUAAUACAAGAUAUAUAUAAUUUUGUUUUAGUUAAAAAAGGCGACAACAACAAAAAUAAUGAAGACCAAGAAGAAGUAUGCUCAACUUGCUCUAUUGUCAUGUAUGAUAUACUUAAUAUGUUUUGUUGAUUAUUAUUAUUUUUUGGAAAGUUCACUUCUUUUUCAUCCAUAAUUAUUUAUGGAGUAAGUUAUGUUUCAGUAUUUGGCCCCAAGGUCAACAUACAUGCACAGAUAUUUGGCGGUAAGACCAAAACGAUCUAAAACUCCCAAUUAAAACUAUCGGUAUGUUACUAAAGGUUACUAAUAAGUCUGUUUUCUUGAGAGGAAGUGAGGAGCCAAUUCUAACCUGCACUUUACCUGGGUACCCAGCAGGGCCAGAGCUAGGGAUAGGCACAAGAAGCAUGUGCUAAGGGUGCAUUAAAGAGGGGGGUUGCUGGGCAUUUACCUCUUCGACUACCCUUCUGAAUCUGCCUCACUGCUGCUUAUCCAUGCUGCGGUGCUCUGUUCACCAUAGCACAUUACAACCCCUCCAACCCCUGCUCCUCAGCGGUAGCCACGGCACUGUGGCUGUGGGAGGUGGAUGGCCAAGCUUGGGUGGGGGGGCCAAUGAUGCUAGUCCCGCCGCUGGUACACAGACAGCAUACCUGCGAGCCAACAGCAUGGUCAAGGAUUUUCCACCUAAAACCUGACCGUCUUGUGGGUAUUCUGCAGGUAACCUGAUGCAGGUCUUUUAACAGGGGGUGGUAGGGGUCAAUUACUUUGUUCUGACUUGGAGAUCACAGUGAUUAUUCAGUAUCAGGUAGAAUCAAUUAUCUAUAUACAAAUUAUCUAUAUACAAGUAUGGAACCUGUUAUCCAUCAAGGUUGCUUGGGACCUGGGCUUCUCCAGAUAAGGGAUCUUUCUGUA